GGAUCUUUACUUGUAGCAAUACAGGUGAAGUGAUAGUGGCGAAAGGGCGCGUAACGCGUGAGUAACCUACCUUUGAGUUGGGGAUAACUUGCCGAAAGGCGAGCUAAUACCGAAUGUGGUUCUCUGGCGUAUGUCAGGGAAACUAAAGACGGGGAUCCGAAAGGACCUGUCGCUCGAUGAGGGGCUCGCGUCCCAUCAGCUAGUUGGCGGGGUAAUGGCCCACCAAGGCUUACGGGUAGCUGGUCUUAGAGGAUGGUCAGCCGCACUGGGACUGAGACACUGCCCAGACUCCUACGGGAGGCUGCAGUCGGGGAUCAUUUGCAAUGGGCGAAAGCCUGACAAUGCGACGCUGCGUGGAGGAUGAAGGCCUUCGGGUUGUAAACUCCUGUCAUUCGGGAACAAUAAUCUUGGUGUGAAUAGCGCCAGGAAAUGAUGGUACCGGAAGAGGAAGCCACGGCUAACUCUGUGCCAGCAGCCGCGGUAAUACAGAGGUGGCAAGCGUUGUUCGGAUUUACUGGGCGUAAAGGGUGCGUAGGCGGCCUAGUGUGUCGGGUGUGAAAUUCCACUGCUCAACGGUGGAACGGCGCCCGAAACUACAUGGCUAGAGUACAGAAAGGGAGAGCGGAAUUCCUGGUGUAGCGGUGAAAUGCGUUGAUAUCAGGAGGAACACCGGUGGCGAAGGCGGCUCUCUGGGAUGUAACUGACGCUGAGGCACGAAAGCUGGGGGAGCAAACAGGAUUAGAUACCCUGGUAGUCCCAGCCCUAAACGGUGCACACUUGGUGUGGGAGGAAUUGACCCCUCCCGUGCCGUAGCUAACGCGAUAAGUGUGCCGCCUGGGGAGUACGGCCGCAAGGCUAAAACUCAAAGAAAUUGACGGGGGCCCGCACAAGCGGAGGAGCAUGUGGCUUAAUUCGACGCAACGCGAAGAACCUUACCAGGGCUCGAAAUGUUGCUGCAGGCCCGCUGAAAGGUGGGCGGCCUUCGAGGGUGCAACAUAGGUGCUGCAUGGCUGUCGUCAGUUCGUGCCGUGAGGUGUUGGGUUAAGUCCCGCAACGAACGCAACCCUUGUGUUUAGUUGCCACCGGAGACGAUGAGUCUUCGAGCACUCUAGACAGACUGCCUGUACAAGCAGGAGGAAGGUGGGGAUGACGUCAAGUCAGUAUGGCCCUUACGUCCUGGGCUGCACACGUGCUACAAUGGUCGGUACAGUGGGAUGCAAGACCGCGAGGUGGAGCAAAUCCUCAAAACCGGCCCCAGUUCAGAUUGAAGUCUGCAACUCGACUUCAUGAAGUUGGAUUCGCUAGUAAUGGUGCAUCAGAUACGGCACCGUGAAUACGUUCCCGGGCCUUGUACACACCGCCCGUCACAUCAUGAAAGCCGUCUGCACCCGAAGUCGCUAUACCAACCGGAAACGGAGGAAAGCGCCUAAGGUGUGGGUGGUGAUUGGGAUGAAGUCGGAACAAGGCA
rnacentral:rRNA from 1 species